rnacentral:tRNA from 1 species
AAGUAAAUUUAUAAUAAAUUUCUAAUUUAUUCAAAAAUGAUUAAAUUCAUUUUUUACUUU